rnacentral:rRNA from 1 species
UACGAAGGGGGCUAGCGUUGCUCGGAAUCACUGGGCGUAAAGGGUGCGUAGGCGGGUCUUUUAAGUCAGGGGUGAAAUCCUGGAGCUCAACUCCAGAACUGCCUUUGAUACUGAAGAUCUUGAGUUCGGGAGAGGUGAGUGGAACUGCGAGUGUAGAGGUGAAAUUCGUAGAUAUUCGCAAGAACACCAGUGGCGAAAGCGGCGCGCUGGACCACUACUGACGCUGAGGAACGAAAGCUAGGGGGAGCAAACAGG